AUUGAACGCUGGCGGCAGGCCUAACACAUGCAAGUCGAACGAGUGGCGGACGGGUGAGUAAUGUCUGGGAAACUGCCUGAUGGAGGGGGAUAACUACUGGAAACGAUAGCUAAUACCGCAUAACAUCAGAUGUGCCCAGAUGGGAUUAGCUAGUUGGUGGGUUAACGGCUCACCAAGGCGACGAUCCCUAGCUGGUCUGAGAGGAUGCACAGCCACAAUGGAACUGAGACACGGUCCAGACUCAUACGGGAGGCAGCAGUGGGGAAUAUUGCACAAUGGGCGCAAGCCUGAUGCAGCCAUGCCGCGUGUAUGAAGAAGGCCUGCGGUUUGUAAAGUACUUUCAGCGGUGAGGCGUUACCCGCAGAAGAGGCACCGGCUAACUCCGUGCCAGCAGCCGCGGUAAUUC
rnacentral:rRNA from 1 species